rnacentral:rRNA from 1 species
ACGCUCGACACCUACUGGAGGCAGCAGUAGGGAAUAUUGCGCAAUGGGGGAAACCCUGACGCAGCAACGCCGCGUGGAGGAUGACACUUUUCGGAGCGUAAACUCCUUUUCUUAGGGAAGAAUUCUGACGGUACCUAAGGAAUAAGCACCGGCUAACUCCGUGCCAGUAGCCGCGGUAAUCUGAGCGGGCUGGCAAGGC